rnacentral:lncRNA from 1 species
UGCUGCUUCUAUCCCUACUCCAAAAUUGAAGAAUGUGAGCAGGCUACGAACAGAGCACUAUGUGUAAGUGGAUAUUUUCCCCAUCAUGUGACCAAAGUACCAAACACCAACCUAUGAUCAUGGAAAACCCUGUUAAUAUAGUGGUCAGAAGGGGCUAAAUUAUAGAAUGAAAAUGGCUCAUUAAAGUUCUAUUAGCCCAGCAAAUGUAUCAGUAGAAUACACUCGAGAUAAAAAUGUGCUCAACAUACUUAACUUCCUGCUCCCAAAUUUGGACUACAGUUAUACUUGGAAAUUGCUUUAAAAAGUAGACUUGCUGGUAUAGAGGGAAAAAAAGUCUAGGUCAGAGAACUUUGAUGUCAACUAAUCAGUAGUUUAUAAUUGUGACCGUGUGCAAUAAACUACAUUAUAUUCUGAUACUAGCUGCAAUGAUGCAGAUAUGAGCUUCCAGAUAAACAUCCUCUCUUGAAACAGGUAAGUUAUUCUUGAGUUCUCCAAAAUUCUGCAAUUUCAAUGCAUAACAUACUAUUCUAACUUCUAUCUUUCAAUAUUUAUAGAUGGAAAAGCGGGAACCUGAUGAUCCUAGCCCCUAUCUUCUUGCAAUAUGGACACCAGGUAAAAGGAAUACCUUUGAAUGUCAAGCUAUAUAAAGCAGGCUAAGAGAUAGGCACAACACAGCUCAUGCCGUUUAUGAUAUACUUCUGUAAAUAGGAUACAAUGUUAAGAUCACACCAUAGAUUGCCGUUGCGUUAAUAGGAUAUGUCAUGAUAGUUAGAAUUCAAACUACACAUUGACAAGUGCUAGUCAAAAAGAUGUUGUCUGCUUUACUACAAAUUAAUUAGAUGAGCUUCUGUAAACAUGUAUUUAAUAGGUGAAACUGCAAACUCAAUUCAACCACCAGAACAAAGUUGUGGGUCCCAGGAACCAGGAAGACUGUGCAAUGAGAAGACCUGCUUUGCUUGCAACAGUGUAAGAGAAGCUAACACUGAGACAGUCCGAGGAACCAUCUUGGUGAGCAAGAUUUACACAUAUAUAAAUGUUAUGGAAGCACAAUUCGCAAAUACCUCCAAGAUUCACUGACAUUGGCAUCACAAUGUGUACAGAUACCUUGUAGAACUGCAAUGAGAGGAAGCUUUCCCCUAAAUGGGACUUAUUUUCAAGUUAAUGAGGUAAUCUUGUUCAGGCUAUUGCCAACUCUAAUUCUUAGAAGCCUCAGAAGUCAGAAGAAAGGGGUCAAGUGGGAUCUGGGAAACCAGAAGGCAAAACCUUACAAAUUAUCUUUCAGUAUUCAAGAACUAACAUUUUGUUAAUUCCUACACUCCCUAGCACGUAUAAUUUAUUUCAUUAUUAGAUGUUUAUAAAAUUAAUUUGCUAUUACCACACAGGUCUUUGCAGAUCAUGAUUCAAGCCUCAAUCCAGUCGACGUUCCAAGGGAAUGGAUUUGGAAUUUACCAAGACGAACUGUAUACUUUGGAACAUCUGUAUCAUCAAUAUUCAAAGGUAAGAAAUUACCCACCAAGCUUUUUGAACAUUAAAAUUGUUGUCCUGGUUCAGUAGUAAAGGAGAAUGGUUACUUACAAAACUAAUCUUUGUCUACUAGGACUUUCAACCGAGGGAAUUCAAUACUGCUUUUGGAAAGGUAUGAAAUUAUACGUCUAAGUACUUGAAUAUCAUAUCUGCAUGCAACAAACACAAGCUUCUCAUUAGGCACACAAAAGAAUGGUUAUUUAAUACAAUAAGUUCAUACACUUACGAAUAAUUUCCUACUAGAAAACCAGGUUUUAUCAUUUUUUUCUUCUCUAACAUUUUGAACACUCUAAAAAGGUUUUAAAAAGCGACCAUGCAUUUAUUGAAGAAUAAGAGCUAUUAUAAGACAUCCCUAGUUCAAAAUCCUUCCAGAAGCAUUGCAAUUAAUAUGGAAUGAAGUUCAGUCAAGCCAAUUUCACUCUUUUGAGAACUAGCGAUGAAUGAUGAUCUUGCAUGGAUUGAAGCUUUAGCAUGCUUUCACCCAUGCACCUUUAACUGACUCAAAUUAUUUGCAGGAUUUGUUUGCGUAAGGGGAUUUGACCAAAAAACUCGAGCACCCCGGCCACUAAUGGCCAGAUUGCACUUUCCUGCCAGUAAGCUGGCCAAGAUGAAGACUGAAAACAACAAAUGAACCAGCUAUAAUACAAAGAUGAUUGUUACUGCAAGGUACCAACUAGUGUUGAUCCGUAAAGGUAACUAAAAUAGCAAACCAGUAUCUGCCCUUACAGAGAACAAAAAUUUGCAGCCGUAGCAGAGAAGAAAUUUUUUUACUGACAUUGUUGUACACAAUUGUUCUUUGUCUAACAUGAGAUGCAUUUACCCAUGUUAGCACAUCAGAACGAACUGUUUGUUAGUGAAAUUUUGAACCCCAUGGUAAGUGGACUAAUGUAGUCUGUCAAUUUAACAAAACUGUGAUGUUAUUUAAAUUCAUGCUCUAAAGAGAGCCAUUUUUUCAAUAAUAGCCAGAAAUAUUUUUCCCUACUCAUGCUCCAAUCUGUAAUACAGUCUAGACUUGGCAAUUCGUGUAUCUAUGCCGUGUGUUGUGUUGGUAUUAUUUUUCAUGUCAUAUCAUGCUUAAGGUGUUAUAUGCUUUCAAAAGAGUUGACAUGUUAGAAUUAUAUAAUUACAUACAUUUUGACAAUCGUUUAUUCAUAUCAUGUUACUUUUUCAUGUCAUGUUUGCGUCAAUACAUACGCAUUACAUAUGCAGAUAGAAAUAAAACAGUCACGAUAAUUGUUACACCCUGCAGUGGACUUCAUCUCUGCAAUGAUCACAACUAAGGUGUAGUUGAGCUCCAUUACCAUCUGUACUCAGACCUUUUAGUGCUUCAACAACUAUUGAACUUCAACAUCUCAUUGCUAAUUUCAGGUUCAUUUAGAGGACAGAGAGACAUUUCUCACAAACCUUAUUUACCUAACUCUUUCUACUAAAAUAGAGAAUGCUUUAACCUUUCAAAUGGUAAAAUAUUUCAACAAGCUGUGAAAAGCCUUAUGCUUAUAACAUGGUAAAAAUAACAUGAGGUGUAAAAAGCUUUCUUACCACUUAAUUGCUUCAUUGACAAGAAGUCACCCUUCAUUAUAUUAGACUAGGACCUGGUCCAUUACUUUGUAACAAGCCCAUGGUUAACAUUCAUAAUUGUAGGACUGACAUACUUCUAAACAACCACAGAUAGACCUUCCCAAUCUCAGCAAGCCUACAUACAUUCAUGCAAAAACUCAUUAACCGAAUUUCAAAGCCAAUAAUGUAGUAUUGAAAAAUAAAUUGCUCUUAUUGAAAUUGGGUUCUCAAACUUGGCCCAGAUUUGGCAUUUAGACUAAGAUACUGCAGCAAUUCAUGGUGGCACAUAAAGCAAAAUAUGCAUAGUAUAUAAUAUAAUUCCAAAAACAGUCAGGGGCUUGUACAUAUACAUGAUGAAGGGAUAAAUAGCUUUUUCCUUGGGUACGAAUACACCGACAAUAAUAGAAAGUUGAUAAAAUGCGUCUCGAGUACACGUGUGCUUAAAACCUUUCGUAGUACGUGUAUGCUUAAAGUCUUUCCCACUAAAGGGGAAAUCUUUUAUAUGUAUAUUUCAUAGCAAUCAUCCAAUUAUCGUGCAAGAAAACUAUAUAUAUCAAAAUAUGUAUUUAUUACAAAAAUAAGUUAAAAUUGUAUGGAAGAUUCAUCAUAAAUAGCGAUCCAAACAAUUGUUUAACAAACAAUUUACAAGCACUUCUAGAAUAUCAUAAAAGUAGAAGAAAUAUUAGAUUUAGCACUUUUACUUCAUCUUCAAAUUCUCACUAUUUAUCAAAAAAAAUUGAUUUAAUUCAUUGCAAUAUAUUAUACAGCAAUAUAUAAAUAAAUAAAUAAAUAAAUAAAAGAAAUCUUAGAUAUCAAACUCACAGAGCUACAUUCUUCUCUCUUUUUAAAACUUUCUGAAUAUCAAAACAUGUAUUAAAUUUGAAUUAUCAUAAAUUUUUAUUGAAAAUAAUAAAAAUGAAGUAAAAAUUAAUCUUAGAAUUUAUAUUCUUCGAUUCACUUACUUCUAUUUUCUUGUAAACCAAAUAACAAUUUUAUUAUAUACAGUUUAAAAGAUUAUAGGAACAAAAUGAACCAUAGAUUCUUCACUUUCUUCCAUUUUCUCAACAAACAAACAAGGAUGAACAAUUUUAAAAAAAAAACAAUAUUUGAUCGAGAACAAAACAUAUACCAAAAAGAAUUUAAAUCAUUACAAUAAAACAUUAAAAGGAAAAUGAAUCUUAGAUAUUAAACUCAUGGGAUUUAACUUUCUUUUCUUUUCUUUGGGUUUUUUUUUUCUUUUUAAUUUUCUCAAAACCAAAACAUGAAUUAAACUUAAAGCAAAAGGAAUACAUUUGAAAGAUCAAAAAAUUUCAUUGAGAAAAAAACAAAGAAAAAGAACAAUGGAAUCUUAGAAUAUAUACUCUUCAAUUUGCUUUCCAUUUUUCAAAAAAGCAAACAACAAUUUUAUCAUCAUACACAAUUUAAAAAGAUCACAAAUAAAUCAUAGAUUUUUUACCUUCAUUAUCUCAACAAAACAAACAAACAAGGAUGAACAAAGGGAAAAAGAAAAGAUCUAAAACAAAAUUUUAAAAGAACAUAAAUUAAACAAUACCUUCGUUGAAAUCAUAAAAGAGAUUAUAAGAGUGAAA